GAUCAUGGCUCAGGAUGAACGCUAGCGACAGGCUUAACACAUGCAAGUCGAGGGGCAGCAUAGAAGUAGCAAUACUUGGUGGCGACCGGCGCACGGGUGAGUAACGCGUAUGCAACCUACCUAUCAGAGGGGAAUAACCCGGCGAAAGUCGGACUAAUACCGCAUAAAACAGGGGCACCGCAUGGUGAUAUUUGUUAAAGAAAUUCGCUGAUAGAUGGGCAUGCGUUCCAUUAGGUAGUUGGUGAGGUAACGGCUCACCAAGCCGACGAUGGAUAGGGGAACUGAGAGGUUGGUCCCCCACACUGGUACUGAGACACGGACCAGACUCCUACGGGAGGCAGCAGUGAGGAAUAUUGGUCAAUGGGCGGGAGCCUGAACCAGCCAAGUCCGCGUGAAGGAAGAAGGAUCUAUGGUUCGUAAACUUCUUUUGCAGGGGAAUAAAGUGCAGGACGUGUCCUGUUUUGUAUGUACCCUGAGAAUAAGGAUCGGCUAACUCCGUGCCAGCCGCCGC
rnacentral:rRNA from 1 species